rnacentral:lncRNA from 1 species
UACUACUAUUAUUCUAUUUAUCUCUCCUCCACGUUUUACUUGCUAGCUUUGCCUCUCUACUCUCCCCCAAUCUUGAAUCCAUUAAUAUAAAUCCAACUACUUCCGUCUUUCUCUUCAGCAAACUUGUAGAUUUUUUUGGGUUGAUCCAAAGGAAUACAUGCUUAUUUGUCUCAGGUUUUUCUUUUUUGUUAAUUAUUUAUUUAUUUAUUUCUCGUUUUGAAUCUCCACUGAGUUUUUUGUUAAUUAAUUUGUUGGGAUCUUAGGAUUGUUUUGAAAGUUGUCUUUCGAAAAUGGAUGGAGAGAUGUAUGAUAAAGAGCCGUGAGAAUAAAACGGGAUGGGAAGAAUUGGCAAGAUUAAGGUAAUCUCUAACUCUUUCUGGAUAUCAUCUGAAAGUUUCUUUAACUUACUUCUUUAAGCAAGAUCUUGAAACAAAUUCUUCUUUAAGCUUCUUUUUAGAAGGAAAUCGUAUAUUUUCUUGGAAAUUAAAAUUACUUCAUUGCACCACCGAUUCCUCUAGGAAUUCUUUAUCGUGAAUAAUUCCGUACAUGAAUCAUCAUCUUUAUAAUAUCGCGAGCCAUGGUCGAUGAUGAAUACGGAGUGCCAGAGUAUUGUUGAGGUCGAGAUUUUUUCUUUUCUGGUUUUUUAUUUAGAGAUUAUACAUCGUUGAUUUUAAGGCGGUUUGAAAAAAAUCGACAUAAAUAAUUGGUGAGGUUUGUUAAUUUGGUUUUAAUGGGGUCAAUUAGAUAAGGUUUGAAAAUUUGAAUUAUUAGAUAGUCGCUGGUUGGUAAAUAUUUAAAUGGAUGUACCAACUUAUCCGGAUUUUUAGAUUUUUAUAUCGAGAUGAUGCAUCGUGUGACUCCGUAAAAUUGGUCCGUAACUGAGAUUGAUAGAGUUUGUUGUUUUUCCUCUGUGCGCCUCUCUCUGUAUCGACUUCUAUUCUUGACAUACUGAUUUGUAAUGGGGCUAUGUUGUGGGGAUAGGGAAGAAUUGAAGUUGGGGUUUGAGAAAUUUGCUACUCCCUCCGUCCCUAUUUAAAUGACGUUUUAGAUUUUUUUAUUUGUCUCGUUUGUUCAAAUCUAGGAGAAUUAAUGAUAAUUUUUUUUAAAAUACCCCUCAUUAUUUUAUCUAAUUUUUUGGGGGACUUUAAACUCUUUCUGUCAUAUCUUCCCAACAAAGUUCGUUUUUUACUACUUUCCAAUCUCUAGCGUAUUUUUCAGCAGUCUCUUCCUCUCCUCUGAUUAAUUACGAUGUUAAGAAAUUUUAUUUUUUCAAAGAUUUUUUUCCUCCAUAUAUAUGAAUUCUUCAAUGGAGAUCUUCUAAUCUUCUCACAUAGAAUUUAUUUAAUCACAAACACCAUGGAUUGCAAAGAAAAUCCUUUAUUUAACAAAGGAAUGCCUUUUUCUUCUUCUGAUUUUAAGGAUAAAUCUACUGGUGAGACUCCUAAAGUUGCAUGGGACUUCGAUUUGAAUUUGCCGGCAGAUACGAGCAUCGAUUUGAACAAGAUCCCAGAUGAUGAAUGUGAGCUUUCUACGGAGGAGGUUUUCUAGGAGAUUUUUAGUAUUUUUUACCCAACUUUUUUAACUUAUUGUCGUUAUUUUUGGUGGGUUUUUUUCUCUGAAAAUGAUGUUGUGCCCAUCUAUUAUUUCUGAUCAAUUGUAAUGGAUUGCUGAUAUUUGGGUAUGUAAUGGCGAUAGAUUUUAUUUUUGAUCGAUUGUAAUGGGUUUUGAAAUUUGGAUAUGGAAUGAUGAUGAGUUUAUUUCUGAUCAAUUGUAAUGAAUUUCUGAUUUUUUGGUAUGAAGUUUAUUUCUGAUUUCCAAACUAAAGAUUUUACAUAUGGUGUUAUUCCGAUCUAGGAAAGAAAUUCGCAUCCCCUCUCUCCAUUUCUGCCAUUAAUGUGGCCUUAGAGAGGCAUUACUUGGUUGUGGAGGUAAUAAUGUAAUGGAUUAAUUACAUAUAUUAGUACCUUUUAAAAAAUAAUUACAAAAAUAAAACACC